rnacentral:rRNA from 1 species
GACGAACGCUGGCGGCGUGCUUAACACAUGCAAGUCGAACGAUGAAGCAGAGACACGCGUACUUCGGUUCAAAUUUCACUUCGGAUUAGUGGCAGACGGGUGAGUAACGCGUGAGCAACCUACCUCUUACAAAGGGAUAGCCUCGGGAAACCGUGAUUAAUAACCUAUGACACCUUCAUAAGGCAUCUUAAGAAUGUUAAAGGUACGGCGGUAAGAGAUGGGCUCGCGUCCCAUUAGAUAGUUGGUGAGGUAACGGCCCACCAAGGCGGCGAUGGGUAACCGGGCAGAGAGGGAGAGCGGUCACAUUGGAGCUAAGACGCGGUCCAAACUCCUACGGGAUGGAGGAGUGGCGAAUAUAGCACAACGGAGUGAACGCUGAUGCAGCGCCGCCGCGUAAGCGAUGAAGUAAGUCGUUUAGUAAAGCGCUGUUCUAUGGGAAGAAAAGGACGGUACCAAAGGAGAAAGCCCCGGCUAAAUACGUG